CUCGAAAGAGAACCGUAACACAGGUGCUGCAUGGCUGUCGUCAGCUCGUGUCGUGAGAUGUUGGGUUAAGUCCCGCAACGAGCGCAACCCUUGUCAUUAGUUGCUACAUUCAGUUGGGCACUCUAAUGAGACUGCCGGUGACAAACCGGAGGAAGGUGGGGAUGACGUCAAGUCCUCAUGGCCCUUAUAGGUGGGGCUACACACGUCAUACAAUGGAUGGUACAAAGGGUCGCCAACCCGCAGGGGGAGCCAAUCCCAUAAAGCCAUUCGUAGUCCGGAUCGCAGUCUGCAACUCGACUGCGUGAAGUCGGAAUCGCUAGUAAUCGUGGAUCAGAAUGUCACGGUGAAUACGUUCCCGGGUCUU
rnacentral:rRNA from 1 species